CUUCCUGUGUCAAGGCCCAACCCCUUCACGCUGCUACGUCACUUCCGCCGCCGCCUCUCAGCAAGCAAAGAUGUCGGAAGAUUCAGAGGUUGUGCUGCAGCUCCCCUCGGCUCCUGUAGGAGCCGGCGGCGAGAGCCUUCCAGAGCUCUCCCCGGAAACAGCCACCCCAGAGCCCCCGUCCUCGGCUGCAGUUUCGCCCGGAACGGAGGAACCUCCCGGAGACACCAAGAAAAAAAUUGACAUCCUGCUGAAGGCUGUAGGAGACACUCCUAUAAUGAAAACAAAGAAAUGGGCUGUGGAGCGAACCCGGACCAUCCAAGGACUCAUUGACUUCAUCAAAAAGUUCCUUAAACUGGUGGCCUCGGAACAGUUGGUAUGAUGACAGUGGUGACUGUUUGCCAUGGGAACACAUGCACACAAAGCUACACACUGCUCUUUUUCUCCUUUCCUCUCAUUUGUGGUGAGACCUAUGUACUGUAUCAGAAGAUACUUUGAGAAGCUCUGGAAUGAGAGAAAUUUGGAUUCACCUUGCUACCUAAAAGUUGUUUUUUAUUAUUUAAUGUUUAUCUCAAGCUUUGUAAGACUCUGGGGGUUGGGAUGUUCAUGCAGAGGUCAGAGGACAAUCCUUGGAAGAGGGUUCUCUUUCCACCAUGUUCCUGGAACUCUCUCACUCGGAUCAUCAGGAAGUGCCCUGACCUGUCCAGUCAGCUCAGCUCGAUGACCCUUGACAGUGUCUUUGUUGUUACUAUCACUGCUGACCAGGAUUUUUUUCGUUUUUCAAAGCGCGGGGUUUUAUUUACUUUCCUCAAAAUAUCACUGAAUAGUCAUGCAUAAAUAUUUGUCAUGGAGCAUUAUGUCCUCUGUAUGUUAGCAAAGUUUGGUGUUUACUUUGAUUCUGUUAUUACUUUUGUCCCCAUUCAUCGGGUUAGCAGGGUAUCUUUCACCUACUGUCUGCCUAUUUCACAGUGUAGUAUACGUUUAUUUAUGUGAAUCAGUCCUUUGCCCCUUCCCCAGACCAAGAAGUUGGAACUCUAUAUGAGUGUUUUGGCAGUGAUGGUAAACUGGUCCUGCAUUACUGCAAAUCCCAGGCAUGGGGAUGAGCCAGAAAUGAACAACUUGAUAUUUUCACAGAAGAAAAAAAAUCAGAGACAUUUCGGUGCUGUGGGAAGAGACUUACUAUCAAAUAUUCAGCAUGAAUCUGUUAGGACCUGUGUUUAUGUAUAAGAAAACAUCAUAGAGUAUAUAGACUAAUGAAUGAGAUUUGUGUCACCAUAAAAUCAUCAUGAGAGAUUGACGUUAGAGUGUGCCAUUACUCCCACACACUCCUGUUCCAGGUCACGUUAGAAAGGAGACUGAAGUUGUAUGUGGAUUGCAGGUCUCAGGAUGACUGAAGGCAUUUACUUGGUUGGCACUAUGUUAAUUCCGUGAUAAGAACUAAUUUACUGAAGGGUUUGUGUUUUGAGGUAAUUUAGUUUUUUUGCUUAUUCAGGGGACCUCUAUUUGGGAUAUAGAAUGUUUACAUUUAUCUGUAUUGCUCUGUAAAAAAUAGUGCACUGAUCUAAGUUGUCCGGUAGAGGGCAGCCAGUUGGCAAAAAGGCUUGACAGUUUUCAUGGCUUUGCCAGGUGAUUGGGGGCAAGACUGUUGAACCUAAUUUCUAGUUAAUGUGUAAUCCGGAAAGCAGCUGUGUUGACACACUGGAGGAUGUGCAUAGUUUAAAAUUAAUCAUGCAGGGACACAGUUUUACAAAUUGUGAGCAGAUGAGUCUCAGCUCUUCAGUCCUGUCAUUUCUGGUUCUUGCGCCUCAUCCUGGGCAUUGUGAUCCAUACCUGCUGUCUCAGCGCUCAGGACACCUGAGCAGGAAGAGUGAACCAGGAGUCCACAACUAGACUGCACUGCAAAAGAACUUAUCCCAAAAAGAUUCUAGAGCCCUACCCAGUGUGGGGACCACGCAGCACCAACUUACCCAUCUCCCAACCCUCACUUCUCGUCUCUAUGUGCUUUUAGUUUGGGUUUUGUUUUGGUUUUUUUGUUUUGUUUUGUUUUUUUUCCAGGCCUGGGGAUCAUUCCCCUUGCUUGUGCACUCAAGGCAUGGGCUUUGCUGAGCUGCAUCUCUCCAGCAUUCAUUGAGUGUUCAUAAUGUAUUUCCCAAAUUGAAAGUAUUCAGAGCUAAUGGUUGAAAACUAGUAUCCAAUUUUAUGUGUAUUCCGUGCCAUCACAUACACACAAAAAGAGUGCAGCUGUCACUGGUGAUGUUAGCCUGGCUAUUGCUUGAGCUAACAUUUGACCUUUUUCUUACAUAUUUUAUCUCAAACUUUUUUUUGAAGCUGGGUCUCACUAUGUAGAUCUGCCUAGCCUGGAACUUGCAGAGAUCAGUGUGUCUGUCUAUGCCUCCAAAGUGCUGAGAUGAAGGGAUAGCCCACCUCACUCAGCCCCACAGCAGUCUUAAAUUCCAACCAGAAGCACACAUGGCAGCACUCCUAGCAUUGAGGAAGUGGAAACAAGCAGACUGAAAGUUUAAGACUGUGUGGGCUACAGAGUGAGAUUGUCUCACCUCUGGGGGAAAAAUUACAGUAAAAUGCUACUCUGUUGUUGUCCUGCUUUUGAGAUUGACUGUGUCACUCAGGCUGACCUGCCUCAGGCUCCGGGGCUUGCAGCUGUGCACCACUGCAUCUGGCUCCUUUUUAACUCUUUAGCUAGAGUGUGCUCUAGAGGAGCCUCAGCCAUGUGAGCCAUGGAAGAAGCUGUGGAACAACACGGUGCAGUGCUGACCACUUGUCUUCUGCGCAAGAGUGUGAAUUGUGGACAUGCCCUUCCUCAGCAUGCCUUGCAGUGAGGUCAUGCAGGGAAUAGUCACAGAGCACUGUGGACAGUGGCUUAUGCACAGUACAGCCUUAGGAAAACACCUUAUAUCUUGAAAACUGGGCCGUAUUAUUUAUGAACAAUGUCAGUGGGAAAGAAAAAAGAUGUGUUCUAGCUUUGCCUGGUAAUUGGUGACUGAAAGAACAUAGUAGUAGAUAUUUACAGGAGAAGUAUGUUGAAUUUAUUGUUGGCUGGUAUUCAUUCGAGAUGACAGAAUGCUUAUUACUUCUAUGAAAUCAAAAAUAAACUUGAAUUUGAAACAUUU